rfam:Beta vulgaris subsp. vulgaris Bvchr8.sca018.con0307.1, whole genome shotgun sequence.
AUAGCAGGGACUGUGUGUAUCAGUAUUAAGCAGUGAUCAUAUGCUCUAUGCUGAAAGAAUUCCCUGCAAUAUUAAUUGGAGAAGAUGGGCAGUUGAGAUGUCAUCUAUUGGUAUCUCAACAAUCAUCUUUCCUACAUUU